UACGUAGGGUGCAGGCGUUAAUCGGAAUUACUGGGCGUAAAGCGUGCGCAGGCGGUUCGUUGUGUCGGCGGUGAAAGCCCCGGGCUUAACCUGGGAAUGGCCGUUGAAACUGGCGAACUGGAGUGUGGCAGAGGGGGGUGGAAUUCCGCGUGUAGCAGUGAAAUUCGUAGAUAUUCGGAGGAACACCAGUGGCGAAGGCGGCUCACUGGCUCGACACUGACGCUGAGGUGCGAAAGCGUGGGGAGCAAACAGGAUAGAAACCUAGUA
rnacentral:rRNA from 1 species